rnacentral:rRNA from 1 species
ACUCAGCGAAAUUGAAUUACCUGUCAAGAUGCAGGUUUCCCGCGGUUAGACGGAAAGACCCCGUGCACCUUUACUAUACCUAAACAUUGAAGAACUCACGAUCAUGUGUAGCAUAAGUGGGAGUUGACGAUCCCUUUGCGCAAGCAAAUUGGGGAGACCAAAGUGAAAUACCACUCUUGAUCUUGAGAACUUCUCACCUCAGGACAGUGUUUAGCGGGUAGUUUGACUGGGGCGGUCGCCUCCUAAAGCGUAACGGAGGCGCGCGAAGGUUGGCUCAGAGCGGUCGGAAAUCGCUCGUUGAGUGCAAUGGCAGAAGCCAGCCUGACUGCGAGACUGACAAGUCGAGCAGAGUCGAAAGACGGCCAUAGUGAUCCGGUGGUCCCAAGUGGGAGGGCCAUCGCUCAACGGAUAAAA